UACAGAGGGUGCAAGCGUUGUUCGGAAUUACUGGGCGUAAAGGGCGUGCAGGCGGUUUGUUAAGUGCAGGGUGAAAGCUCCCGGCUCAACUGGGAGAGGUCCUUGCAUACUGGCAAACUCGAGGGAGGCAGAGGAAAGUGGAAUUCCCGGUGUAGUGGUGAUAUGCGUAGAUAUCGGGAGGAACACCUGUGGCGAAGGCGGCUUUCUGGGCCUUACCUGACGCUGAGACGCGAAAGCGUGGGGAGCGAACCGG
rnacentral:rRNA from 1 species